rnacentral:rRNA from 1 species
UUAAGCGACUAAGCGUACACGGUGGAUGCCCUGGCAGUCAGAGGCGAUGAAGGACGUGCUAAUCUGCGAUAAGCGUCGGUAAGGUGAUAUGAACCGUUAUAACCGGCGAUUUCCGAAUGGGGAAACCCAGUGUGAUUCGUCACACUAUCAUUAACUGAAUCCAUAGGUUAAUGAGGCGAACCGGGGGAACUGAAACAUCUAAGUACCCCGAGGAAAAGAAAUCAACCGAGAUUCCCCCAGUAGCGGCGAGCGAACGGGGAGGAGCCCAGAGCCUGAAUCAGUGUGUGUGUUAGUGGAAGCGUCUGGAAAGGCGCGCGAUACAGGGUGACAGCCCCGUACACAAAAAUGCACAUGCUGUGAGCUCGAUGAGUAGGGCGGGACACGUGGUAUCCUGUCUGAAUAUGGGGGGACCAUCCUCCAAGGCUAAAUACUCCUGACUGACCGAUAGUGAACCAGUACCGUGAGGGAAAGGCGAAAAGAACCCCGGCGAGGGGAGUGAAAAAGAACCUGAAACCGUGUACGUACAAGCAGUGGGAGCACGCUUCGGCGUGUGACUGCGUACCUUUUGUAUAAUGGGUCAGCGACUUAUAUUCUGUAGCAAGGUUAACCGAAUAGGGGAGCCGAAGGGAAACCGAGUCUUAACUGGGCGUUAAGUUGCAGGGUAUAGACCCGAAACCCGGUGAUCUAGCCAUGGGCAGGUUGAAGGUUGGGUAACACUAACUGGAGGACCGAACCGACUAAUGUUGAAAAAUUAGCGGAUGACUUGUGGCUGGGGGUGAAAGGCCAAUCAAACCGGGAGAUAGCUGGUUCUCCCCGAAAGCUAUUUAGGUAGCGCCUCGUGAAUUCAUCUCCGGGGGUAGAGCACUGUUUCGGCAAGGGGGUCAUCCCGACUUACCAACCCGAUGCAAACUGCGAAUACCGGAGAAUGUUAUCACGGGAGACACACGGCGGGUGCUAACGUCCGUCGUGAAGAGGGAAACAACCCAGACCGCCAGCUAAGGUCCCAAAGUCAUGGUUAAGUGGGAAACGAUGUGGGAAGGCCCAGACAGCCAGGAUGUUGGCUUAGAAGCAGCCAUCAUUUAAAGAAAGCGUAAUAGCUCACUGGUCGAGUCGGCCUGCGCGGAAGAUGUAACGGGGCUAAACCAUGCACCGAAGCUGCGGCAGCGACACUAUGUGUUGUUGGGUAGGGGAGCGUUCUGUAAGCCUGUGAAGGUGUCCUGUGAGGGAUGCUGGAGGUAUCAGAAGUGCGAAUGCUGACAUAAGUAACGAUAAAGCGGGUGAAAAGCCCGCUCGCCGGAAGACCAAGGGUUCCUGUCCAACGUUAAUCGGGGCAGGGUGAGUCGACCCCUAAGGCGAGGCCGAAAGGCGUAGUCGAUGGGAAACAGGUUAAUAUUCCUGUACUUGGUGUUACUGCGAAGGGGGGACGGAGAAGGCUAUGUUGGCCGGGCGACGGUUGUCCCGGUUUAAGCGUGUAGGCUGGUUUUCCAGGCAAAUCCGGAAAAUCAAGGCUGAGGCGUGAUGACGAGGCACUACGGUGCUGAAGCAACAAAUGCCCUGCUUCCAGGAAAAGCCUCUAAGCAUCAGGUAACAUCAAAUCGUACCCCAAACCGACACAGGUGGUCAGGUAGAGAAUACCAAGGCGCUUGAGAGAACUCGGGUGAAGGAACUAGGCAAAAUGGUGCCGUAACUUCGGGAGAAGGCACGCUGAUAUGUAGGUGAAGUCCCUCGCGGAUGGAGCUGAAAUCAGUCGAAGAUACCAGCUGGCUGCAACUGUUUAUUAAAAACACAGCACUGUGCAAACACGAAAGUGGACGUAUACGGUGUGACGCCUGCCCGGUGCCGGAAGGUUAAUUGAUGGGGUUAGCGGUAACGCGAAGCUCUUGAUCGAAGCCCCGGUAAACGGCGGCCGUAACUAUAACGGUCCUAAGGUAGCGAAAUUCCUUGUCGGGUAAGUUCCGACCUGCACGAAUGGCGUAAUGAUGGCCAGGCUGUCUCCACCCGAGACUCAGUGAAAUUGAACUCGCUGUGAAGAUGCAGUGUACCCGCGGCAAGACGGAAAGACCCCGUGAACCUUUACUAUAGCUUGACACUGAACAUUGAGCCUUGAUGUGUAGGAUAGGUGGGAGGCUUUGAAGUGUGGACGCCAGUCUGCAUGGAGCCGACCUUGAAAUACCACCCUUUAAUGUUUGAUGUUCUAACGUUGGCCCCUAAUCCGGGUUGCGGACAGUGUCUGGUGGGUAGUUUGACUGGGGCGGUCUCCUCCUAAAGAGUAACGGAGGAGCACGAAGGUUGGCUAAUCCUGGUCGGACAUCAGGAGGUUAGUGCAAUGGCAUAAGCCAGCUUGACUGCGAGCGUGACGGCGCGAGCAGGUGCGAAAGCAGGUCAUAGUGAUCCGGUGGUUCUGAAUGGAAGGGCCAUCGCUCAACGGAUAAAAGGUACUCCGGGGAUAACAGGCUGAUACCGCCCAAGAGUUCAUAUCGACGGCGGUGUUUGGCACCUCGAUGUCGGCUCAUCACAUCCUGGGGCUGAAGUAGGUCCCAAGGGUAUGGCUGUUCGCCAUUUAAAGUGGUACGCGAGCUGGGUUUAGAACGUCGUGAGACAGUUCGGUCCCUAUCUGCCGUGGGCGCUGGAGAACUGAGGGGGGCUGCUCCUAGUACGAGAGGACCGGAGUGGACGCAUCACUGGUGUUCGGGUUGUCAUGCCAAUGGCACUGCCCGGUAGCUAAAUGCGGAAGAGAUAAGUGCUGAAAGCAUCUAAGCACGAAACUUGCCCCGAGAUGAGUUCUCCCUGACUCCUUGAGAGUCCUGAAGGAACGUUGAAGACGACGACGUUGAUAGGCCGGGUGUGUAAGCGCAGCGAUGCGUUGAGCUAACCGGUACUAAUGAACCGUGAGGCUUAACCUU